AUUUCUCGAACUCAAAUUUUGUGAACCAGGGGGGGGGUGUCUUUUCCAACAAAUUAAAAAUGGCUCGCGCACAAAAUUUAAAAGCUGCAAUCAUAUUUUGAGUUAACAGAUGGAAAAUUUGUCGGGAUUUUAAUUACUGUACAAAAUUUCAGACAAUUUGGUUUAGUUUAAGCCCCUUAACUAUUCACGCAAAGUUACAAUUUUCCCG